rnacentral:rRNA from 1 species
AAACCAACCGGGAUUGCCUUAGUAACGGCGAGUGAAGCGGCAAAAGCUCAAAUUUGAAAUCUGGUACCUUCGGUGCCCGAGUUGUAAUUUGGAGAGGGCAACUUUGGGGCCGUUCCUUGUCUAUGUUCCUUGGAACAGGACGUCAUAGAGGGUGAGAAUCCCGUGUGGCGAGGAGUGCGGUUCUUUGUAAAGUGCCUUCGAAGAGUCGAGUUGUUUGGGAAUGCAGCUCUAAGUGGGUGGUAAAUUCCAUCUAAAGCUAAAUAUUGGCGAGAGACCGAUAGCGAACAAGUACAGUGAUGGAAAGAUGAAAAGAACUUUGAAAAGAGAGUGAAAAAGUACGUGAAAUUGUUGAAAGGGAAGGGMAUUUGAUCAGACAUGGUGUUUUGUGCCCUCUGCUCCUUGUGGGUAGGGGAAUCUCGCAUUUCACUGGGCCAGCAUCAGUUUUGGUGGCARGAUAAAUCCAUAGGAA